rnacentral:rRNA from 1 species
AUUGAACGCUGGCGGCGUGCCUAACACAUGCAAGUCGAGCGGUAACAGGUGUAGCAAUACAUGCUGACGAGCGGCGAACGGGUGAGUAAUGCUUCGGAAUCUACCCAAUGGUGGGGAAUAACCAGCCGAAAGGUUGGCUAAUACCGCAUACGUCCCACGGGAGAAAGCAGGGGAUCGCAAGACCUUGCGCCAAUGGAUGAGCCGAAGUCGGAUUAGCUAGUUGGAGGGUAACGGCCUACCAAGGCGACGAUCCGUAGCUGGUCUGAGAGGACGACCAGCCACACUGGGACUGAGACACGGCCCAGGACUCCUACGGGAGCAGCAGUGGGGAAUAUUGGACAAUGGGGGAAACCCUGAUCCAGCGACGCCGCGU